rnacentral:lncRNA from 1 species
GAAGUCUAUUUACCACCAGCGGUGUACUCAGGACUGAUUCCAGCACAGCCAUUAUGGAGAGUCCAAGGCUGCUGCAAACCCCAGGAACAAAGGAAUUGCAUAUCACAGCAGCAUUGCGGUCUUUGCCCAGAAGAGAUUUUCUUUAGGAGGGUGGAGGGUAGAAAUGAAAAACCUGAGGUCUGGCUCUGUAAUCUCCUUCUGUCUAUCUGCGGGCAGGUUACUCCCACUGUCACGCUGCUCUUGAAGUCUCUCCACAUCUACUCUAAGAGAUUCCUAAAGGAUGAAAUAACUGAAACUUUCACAGCCUUGUGCUCACCAUCAUGACCUUAUGUGCCAGAGAUGGCCUUGAUACAGUCUUCACACAUGGAGAGGGGGUAAGCAAUAUAAGAGCAAACUUCUGCACCCUGAGCCAGUGCUCUCAACAGCAACUCCCAG